CAUCCUUACUUUGUUACUGAUCUUAAUGAGAAAGCAUGAGUUCCUUAUGUAUUACGGUAGCUCUAGGCUUUUUGUGUAUCUUCUUUUGAGUUGAAUCUGAGUUUUUCACCUAUAUCAUCAUCUUCCUCUCUAAAGUACUAGUUGAUUCCAUGGUUUCUGCUUAUGAGUUCUACUGUGCUGCCAGAAUCAUCAAAAGGAGUCAAGUCACUUCUGGUACACACGGGGGUAUUUUGGGCUUCCUGGAAAGCUGAGCAUGAAGAAAAUUUAAGAACUAUUACUUUCCUGGGAGUUUUGACCUCAGGCAAUGCAACUAAAGCAGGAAGGUCCAGAGUGGAGUGAGAAGAUGAUGAGUUUUUGGUGAAGAUACUACUUCAUAAGCUAUAAAGAGACAAAACAAUUUACUAGCCUUUCAGGAAAUCUUGGACAGGUGGUACAUAAACCAUAUUUCAGAACAAAUAACAA